rnacentral:rRNA from 1 species
GAUGAACGCUGGUGGCGUGCCUAAUACAUGCAAGUCGAGCGAACAGAUAAGGAGCUUGCUCCUUUGACGUUAGCGGCGGACGGGUGAGUAACACGUGGGUAACCUACCUAUAAGACUGGAAUAACUCCGGGAAACCGGGGCUAAUGCAGGAUAACAUGUUGAACCGCAUGGUUCUACAGUGAAAGGCGGCUUUGCUGUCACUUAUAGAUGGACCCGCGCCGUAUUAGCUAGUUGGUGAGGUAACGGCUCACCAAGGCAACGAUACGUAGCCGACCUGAGAGGGUGAUCGGCCACACUGGAACUGAGACACGGUCCAGACUCCUACGGGAGGCAGCAGUAGGGAAUCUUCCGCAAUGGGCGAAAGCCUGACGGAGCAACGCCGCGUGAGUGCUGAAGGUCUUCGGAUCGUAAAACUCUGUUAUUAGGGAAGAACAAAUGCGUAAGUAACUGUGCGCGUCUUGACGGUACCUAAUCAGAAAGCCACGGCUAACUACGUG